rnacentral:rRNA from 1 species
UACAGAGGUCUCAAGCGUUUGUUCGGAUUCAUUGGGCGUAAAGGGUGCGUAGGCGGCGCGGUAAGUCGGGGUGUGAAAUCUCGGAGCUUAACUCCGAAACUGCAUUCGAUACUGCGGUGCUUUGAGGACUGGAGAGGAGACUGGAAUUCGAUGGUGUAGCAGUGAAAUGCGUAGAGAUCAUGAGAAGACCAGUGGCGAAGC